rnacentral:rRNA from 1 species
UACGUAGGGUGCAAGCGUUGUCCGGAAUUAUUGGGCGUAAAGAGCUCGUAGGCGGUUUGUCGCGUCGGCUGUGAAAACCUAGGGCUCAACUCUGGGCUUGCAGCCGAUACGGGCAAACUAGAAUUCGGUAGGGGAGACUGGAAUUCCUGGUGUAGCGGUGAAAUGCGCAGAUAUCAGGAGGAACACCGGUGGCGAAGGCGGGUCUCUGGGCCGAUAUUGACGCUGAGGAGCGAAAAGCGUGGGGAGCAAACAGG